rnacentral:rRNA from 1 species
GAUGAGCGCUGGCGGCGUGCCUAAUACAUGCAAGUCGAGCGAACAGACGAGGAGCUUGCUCCUCUGACGUUAGCGGCGGACGGGUGAGUAACACGUGGAUAACCUACCUAUAAGACUGGGAUAACUUCGGGAAACCGGAGCUAAUACCGGAUAAUAUAUUGAACCGCAUGGUUCAAUAGUGAAAGACGGUUUUGCUGUCACUUAUAGAUGGAUCCGCGCCGGAUUAGCUAGUUGGUAAGGUAACGGCUUACCAAGGCAACGAUGCGUAGCCGACCUGAGAGGGUGAUCGGCCACACUGGAACUGAGACACGGUCCAGACUCCUACGGGAGGCAGCAGUAGGGAAUCUUCCGCAAUGGGCGAAAGCCUGACGGAGCAACGCCGCGUGAGUGAUGAAGGUCUUCGGAUCGUAAAACUCUGUUAUUAGGGAAGAACAAAUGUGUAAGUAACUAUGCACGUCUUGACGGUACCUAAUCAGAAAGCCACGGCUAACUACGUG